ACGUAGGGUGCAAGCGUUAUCCGGAUUUAUUGGGCGUAAAGAGCUCGUAGGCGGUUCGUCGCGUCUGGUGUGAAAGCCCAUCGCUUAACGAUGGGUCUGCGCCGGAUACGGGCGGGCUUGAGUGCAGUAGGGGAGACUGGAAUUCCCGGUGUAACGGUGGAAUGUGUAGAUAUCGGGAAGAACACCAAUGGCGAAGGCAGGUCUCUGGGCUGUUACUGACGCUGAGGAGCGAAAGCGUGGGGAGCGAACAGG
rnacentral:rRNA from 1 species